rnacentral:misc_RNA from 1 species
GAUGAAGAACGUAGCGAAAUGCGAUACUUGGUGUGAAUUGCAGAAUCCCGUGAACCAUCGAGUCUUUGAACGCAAGUUGCGCCCGAAGCCAUCAGGUUGAGGGCACGUCUGCCUGGGCGUCACAUAUCGUUGCUCGAUGCCUAUCGCAUUGCGAUAGGACUUAGGGCGAAUGAUGGCUUCCCGUGAGCGUUGUUGCCUCGCGGUUGGUUGAAAAUCGAGUCCUUGGUAGGGUGUGCCAUGAUAGAUGGUGGUCGAGUUGGCACGAGACCGAUCAUGUGCAUGCUCCCCAAAAUAUGGCCUCUGUGACCCACACGCGUCUUUUGACGCUCAUGAUGAGACCUCAGGUCAGGCGGGGCUACCCGCUGAAUUUAAGCAUAUCAAUAAGCGGAGGA